UACCAGCAGCCCGAGUGGUGACCACUUUUAUUGGGCCUAAAGCGUCCGUAGCCUGUUUGGUAAACCCUUGGGUAAAUCGAGCAGCUUAACUGUUCGACUUCUGAGGAGACUGCCAGACUUGGGACCGGGAGAGGUUGGAAGUACUUUUGGGGUAGGGGUGAAAUCCUGUAAUCCCAAAAGGACUACCGGUGGCGAAGGCGUCCAACUAGAACGGGUCCGACGGUAAGGGACGAAGCCCUGGGUCACGAACCGGAUUAGAUACCCCCGUA
rnacentral:rRNA from 1 species